AGUGAACGCUGGCGGUAGGCCUAACACAUGCAAGUCGAACGGCAGCACAGUAAGAGCUUGCUCUUACGGGUGGCGAGUGGCGGACGGGUGAGGAAUACAUCGGAAUCUACUUUUUCGUGGGGGAUAACGUAGGGAAACUUACGCUAAUACCGCAUACGACCUACGGGUGAAAGCAGGGGAUCUUCGGACCUUGCGCGUUUGAAUGAGCCGAUGUCGGAUUAGCUAGUUGGCGGGGUAAAGGCCCACCAAGGCGACGAUCCGUAGCUGGUCUGAGAGGAUGAUCAGCCACACUGGAGCUGAGACACGGUCCAGACUCCUACGGGAGGCAGCAGUGGGGAAUAUUGGACAAUGGGCGCAAGCCUGAUCCAACCAUACCGCGUGGGUGAAGAAGGCCUUCGGGUUGUAAAGCCCUUUUGUUGGGAAAGAAAAGCAGCAGGUUAAUACCCCGCUGUUCUGACGGUACCCAAAGAAUAAGCACCGGCUAACUUCGUG
rnacentral:rRNA from 1 species